UUUUUUUUUUUUUUUUUGUUAAUGAACUAGGAAAUUUCGUAUAUUUUGGAGUGUUAAAUAUCUCUUUUUAGGUUUAGGAGGGUAACAGUAUUAAUUAUUUGCAAUUCACAUUAGGCUUCGUUUGCUUUCUAAUUUCACUUAUAUUUAGAUUUCUCCUUUUAGGUUUAGGAAGGAUUUUUAUUUAAUAAAAUUAAGUUUUUUCUUGUUAAUAAACUUUUGAUAAAUUAAGUCCUUAUAAAUAUAUGUUAGGUAAAGCACAUGCAUUUUAAACUCAAUUUAGAAGUUUUUAUUUUUUAAUAAUUCUUUUGUGAUUUUGAACUAUACAUAAUUUGACUUUAUAUAAUUCUUUUUUCUGUUUAGAAUUGUACACACGAGUACUUCUAAAAAAAGUGUUACAAUUCCAGUUGUCAUCAUCAAAACUUUGUUGUUCAGUAGCAACUACAAAAUUAAGGAUUUUUAUGUUCUUUUUUUUUUUUUUUACUUUGAGUAAAACCUUUUUGUAAUUGAAUUUUACAUUCUCAUAUUUAUAUUAAUAGUUAUAUUUUACAGUCACACAUUUGUAUUAAUAGUUAUAUUUUGUAUUCACAUAUUUGUAUUAGCAGUUAAUUUUGUAUUCACGUAUUAGCAACAAGAAAAAGAAUUCUAUUUUUUAUAAAACUAAAAUAAAACCAAAUACAACGAGCAGUGGGAUCCUGAGCUAAGCCUUAGAUAUCCAAGUGGAUUACCUUUGAGAGUUAAGUCGAAGAUCACGAUAGUCUUGCGAGUAACUGCCACGGCAGUUUUCUUUCAUAAUGUUUUCUUAUGGCCUCACCUCUGAAACUCGACAAAGCUGCCUACCUUUUUUCCAAUGCUUUAAGAUGGAAGUACGUUGAGUAUAGGACUUUCUCAAUCUCCGUCCAGACGGAUUUGAUUGCUUAUUUCGUUCCUUCUCUAUUCCUGGAAAUAUAUCAAGAUCAAGGAUGUUAAAAAGACAUUUACAAAGUCAAUCAAUAGAUCAAAGAGUUAUUUUUUUUUUUAAAGCGACAUUCUCUCUUUUGUCUAUCUUUAACUAAAUUAUGGACUUCGGGUGUAUAAAUAUUUCAAGUAGAAGCAAUAGGUGAACCAACAUAAUAAAGAAGCUAGCAAAAGGGCAGACUCAUAGUCAGAUUCGGCCAAAUAAAGUAGUCUUCUUGUAUCUUUGAAAUAGACUAAGCGCUGUGCCAUUAGUAGUUGAAUUUUGCAUUAAUGUUUAAUCUAUACAUCUUUAUUUUGGUAUUCUUGAUUGUGAAUCUUGGUUGAACUUGACAGUCGCCAUAUUGCGUCUGAAUUUGUGCUCCAAUCUUUUGUCAAGCUAUUUCUCUACAACAACUAAACAAACUAUGCCUUAAUCUCAAAUAACUUGAUCGACUAUAACACUUUUUAUGAUUCUCAAUUAAAAUUUAAUUUAAGUUGAUUAAACAAAAUAAAAAUAACUGUAAACAUUUUCAUAUUGCUAUAAAUGCUACCAGCAUAAAAGCACAAGUCUCAGAUAGGGCUAAAAAACUCUUAAAAACAUAAAACAAACAAAUUAACAUAAUAAAAACAAGUUCUCUACCAUUUGUAUCGCCUUUAUAGAAUUUUUUUCUUUCGUUAUACUUAGGGUGUUCAUAAAAAUCCGAAAAUCCGAAAAACCAAACCAAACCGACCAAAAAAAUCGAUACUUUUUGGUUUGGUUUGGUUUUGGUUUUGAAAUUUAAAAACCGAUCAAAUUUAGUUUGGUUUUGGUUUUAAUUUAAAAAAACCGAACCAAACCGAAUAUAGGAGUAGCUAUUUUAAAUUUAUUAUUACACAUAUAUAUAUGUAUACUUUUAUACAAAGUUUUAAAAUUUUUACAGUAAAUAUUAAUCGUUUGCAUUUUUAGUACAGUUCUUUACCUUUACAUUCUAGGUUAAUUGGUAGUUUUCUUUUGUUAAGUGUAAGAAUCUAUUUCAUGUUAAAAAUAAUAUAUUUUUAAUUGAGUCCUUAAAUUAUUCAUCACUAUUUGAUUCAAUUAUCAUCAAUAUAUCUUGGUAAAUAAUAGAUUUCUCAAAGGGCAAUUGAUUUGAUAGUAUUACGUUGAAAAUGUAGUCGCCGAAAUGUGCGUUUGGUAGUGUAUGUCUUAUAUUUAAGAAAAAACCGACAAAUAACCGAAAAAACCGAUAUAAAUCGAAUCGAGAAAAAACCGACUUAAUUGAUUUGAUUUGAUUAUAAUAUUUAAAAAACCGACUUACUUAAUUUGGUUUCUUUUUAGGGAAAACCCGAUCCAAACCGAACCAUGAACACCCCUAGUUAUGCUAUAUCUUUUGUUAAGUGUGAAUUUCAAAAAAUUGUAAAUCUGUCAACUUCUUUUCAUUUCAUGUGAUUUUAAAUUUAUUUCAUCCACUUUUAACAACUUGGUGAUUUUACACCUACAUAUUGAAUACAUAUCGAUACAUCUGAAAGAAAGAAAGUUCAACCCUUUUUAAAGAAUAAAUACAUGUUACUUAUAUCAAAGGAGAAGGACUAAUGGUAAAUGAGAUUGGCGGAGGAAUCCAAGACGAAAUACAGUGUUAAAAGAUUUCCUUAUGGGUUAAGAAUGCAACCUGUAUUCCCAACUUUUGCUGUGAAGGUUAUACUCAAGAAUCAUUACCGUAAUGGAGCUCCCUCCCUCCUAGUCAGACAAAGAAUAAAGCAGCAAGUUCUGACAAAUAGAUAAUAAUAGAUGAUCAAAGCUAUAGCUAGCAAGCAGGAACCAACCUUUAUCCUUUCUAUCAGUUUUAGCAAUUAAUUUGGCGACAAGAAAACCAAACGCAGGUUAAGAAAAAAGUUAUACUUUCCUCUUUUUUGCGAGGAAUGUAUAAUAUGACACGACAUAUAUAAAUUAAGAAAUCAACCUUGUGCAAUUUCCAAACUGUGAAGUUCCUUAGCUACAUGUUGUUUCAGCAAAAUAAGUAAAAUUCCUUAAAGCAGCUAAAGUUGCAGCAUAAAUUUAAGUUAUAAGAAAUGUCAUCAGAGUAUCAAAAUGCAUCUCGUUUAAAGUUGCUGUAGGACACUAAACCAAAGAAGAUAUCUCCAGGUAAGAUUUGCCAUAUCACUUGCUUUCAGCAUCAUAUAGGUCUGUACUGAAAUGUCUAUUAAGGAAAAUAAACAAUAGCCCCAGAGCAAAUAAAAUUUGAUAAAUGGUACCUUUUCAAAAAAAAAAAACAGAGAGAGAUAGAUGACAAAUGUUAGAUGUAUCAGAGAAGUAUAUGCAUCAUACUUCAUCCAGAAAUGAAAAGAGAAAGAACUGAGAACUUGAUACUAUCACAGCGUUGUCUAAUUACAGACCCUCUAACACAAAGACACUCACAUACAUGCACACACAAGAUGCAGUUCCAAUACACAAGAAUCUCAUGACAAUCCCCAUAGAUGAGAUAAGCUCAUUACUCAAGACUUAACAUUUUCAAUGCAUCUACCUUAAUGUUUGACUACUUAAGAUAGAUGUAUAGAAAAUGCUAGACAUUUCUUAUUCACACUGGUACCUUUCUGGUAGGGUCAUACAAAUUCAUAACGUUUCAUGUCAGUUAUAGGUUGCACAACAGUUAUUAGGUUGAAUUCUUCGCAUUAUCUAUUAAUUUUCAUUCAAUUUAUUUGAAGCCACCUUGAAUUUCACUUAACCCAAGAAUAACCAUUUGAUUAUUGCUGCUGCAGUCAGGACGCUACAAACAUGAUAAUCAAAUAAAAGUUUUACUUUAUCGAAACUGUGCAUUCUAGGCAUACAAAAUAUAGCUCUCCAUUUUCUCGUUAUCUAAGGUAAGAGUGACAAAGUAACACCUUAUAAAAACUGAGUUAUUGUAGCACACUUACACAUAAAGCUCAAUAUGUGGGAAAAAUUAAUUCUCUUGAACCUUGGCGAAACAAAAAUCCCCAGACUAGCUUUGUUCUCUGAGCAGCAAUAACUUGCAUGUUGGCAUGCAAAAGUACAGCGGCUACAUAGAGUAAACCGCACUGAGUCUAAACAGGUAAUGUGCUAGGAGCUCCUGGUGCUCACUUUCUAAGGUUUAAAAAUUGUCCUGAACAAGAGUACAUUUCACCACAGGAAUUCUAGAAAAAGACUUGUGAAAGCAAUGAGAGAUGGUUGACUAUCAGAGCACUAAUCUUC
rnacentral:lncRNA from 1 species